AUUGAACGCUGGCGGCAUGCCUUACACAUGCAAGUCGAACGGCAGCACGGGAGCAAUCCUGGUGGCGAGUGGCGAACGGGUGAGUAAUACAUCGGAACGUGCCCAGUCGUGGGGGAUAACUACUCGAAAGAGUGGCUAAUACCGCAUACGACCUGAGGGUGAAAGCGGGGGACCGCAAGGCCUCGCGCGAUUGUAGCGGCCGAUGUCAGAUUAGCUAGUUGGUGGGGUAAAGGCCCACCAAGGCGACGAUCUGUAGCUGGUCUGAGAGGACGACCAGCCACACUGGGACUGAGACACGGCCCAGACUCCUACGGGAGGCAGCAGUGGGGAAUUUUGGACAAUGGGGGCAACCCUGAUCCAGCCAUGCCGCGUGCGGGAAGAAGGCCUUCGGGUUGUAAACCGCUUUUGUCAGGGAAGAAAAGCGCUGAGUUAAUACCUUGGUGUCAUGACGGUACCUGAAGAAUAAGCACCGGCUAACUACGUGCCAGCCGCCGCCGUAACAC
rnacentral:rRNA from 1 species